rnacentral:piRNA from 1 species
UAGCAAAAUGGUAAGUGCUC